CUUUCUCCCUGGCGGUUAGUGCUGAGGCUGAGGACAACAUGCAUUUACUAAAAAUUCAAGAAAAGUCUAAAAAAAUCUUUUAAAAAUAUCCCCUCAAAUCGGCAUCUACUCCUCCAGAGAGUUACUAUAAUAUUUUUUCUUCCCCUUUUAUUAAAUAACCCUGUCAGCAGCCAAAACCGACCCCACCCGCGGCCCUGCAGCAGCCGUAAGGAGGAACCACGAGACCCAGGCCUUCCCGCCGCCCGAACCGGACACCGGCAGCCAGCAGACAGCGGCGGACAAGCGACCUCGCUCUGUGGCCAGUGAGUUGUUUCUGAUUCGGAUGAUUUUUGUCCCUCGGCGCGUGCCCUUGCUCCCCGCCCCCGGCUGCGAGACCCCCGGCCCGGCACUCGCUCUCCUCCUGUCACGAAAGGGUCGCGGCCUGUAGCCCUGUGGGCAGCCGUGCCGCGAUGAACCCCAGCGCCCCCAGCUACCACAUGGCCUCGCUGUAUGUGGGGGACCUGCACCCCGACGUGACUGAAUUGAUGUUCCAAGAGAAGUUUAGCUCGACAGGUCCACCCUCACCAUCCGGGUCUUUAGGGACUGGCUCACCCACCUCUUCGUGGGCUACGUGUCCGUGAACUUCCUGCAGCCGGCAGACGCGGAGCGUGCUCUGGCCACCAUGAACUUUGAUGUUAUAAAGGGCAAGCCAGUAUAAGUCCUGUGGUCUCAGCGCGAUCUAUCGCUGCGCAAAAGUGGAGUGGGCAACGUAUUCGUUAAAAACCAGGACAAAUCCGUUGAGAAAGCACUGUGUGAUGCAUUUUCUGCUUUUGGUAACUUCCUUUCGUGUAAGGUAGUUUGUGAUGAAAAUGGUUCUAAGGGCUGUGGAUCUGUACACUUUGAGACACAGGAAGCAGCUGAAGGAGCUAUUGAAAAAAUGGAUGGGAUGCUCCUGAAUGGUCUCAAUGUAUUUGUUGGACGGUUUAGGUCUCCUAAAGAACAAGAAGCAGAACUUGGAGCUAGGGCAAAAGAGUCCAAAGUUGGACCUGCCUCAAGUGUAAAAGUAAUAACUGAUGAAGGUGGAAAAUCCAAAGGAUUUGGAUUUGUAAGCUUUGAAAGGCAUGAAGAUCCACAGACAGCUAUGGAUGUGAAUGGAAAGGAGUUCAGUGGAAAUCAAACUUACAUUUGUCUAGCUCCGAAAAAAGUGGAAGAGCAGACAGAACUUAAGUGCAAAUUUGAACAGAUGAAGCAAGAUAGAAUCACCAGAUACCAGGGUGCUAACGUUUGUGUGAAAAAUCUUGAUGAGAGUAUUGAUGAUGAACGUCUCCAGAAAGAAUUUUCUCCAUUUGGUAUAAUCAAUAGUGCAAAUGUUAUGAUGGAGGGUGGUUGCAGCAAAAGGUUUGGCUUUGUAUGUUUCUCCUCCCCAGAAGAAGUAGCUAAAGCAGUUACAGCAAUGAACGGUAAAAUUGUGGCCAGCAAGCCAUUGCAUGUAGCUUUAGCUCAGUGCAAAGAACAGCGCCUGGCUCACUUCACUAACCAAUACAUGCAGAAGAUGGCAAGUGUACGAGCUGUGCCCCACCCUGUAAUCAACCCCUACCAGCCAGCACCUUCUACAUGUUACUUCGUAGCAGCUAUCCCACAGACCCAGAACCGUGCUGCAUACUAUCCUCCUGGCCAAAUUGCUCAACUAAGACCAAGUCCUCCCUGGGCUGUUCAGAGUGUCAGACCUUAUCCAUUCCAAAUAUGACCUGUGCUAUCCGCUCAGCUGCUCGUAACCACCACUCUGAGACCAGCUUCUUCACAGGUUCCACCAGUCAUGUCCACACAGUAUGUUGCUAACUCAUCAAUACAGACAAUUAGUCCAUGUCCUGUAGCUGCUGCUGCUGGCUCCACUCCUGCGGUCUACAUCAUUCCACAGUACAAAUAUGCUUCAGGAAUUCUCAUUCCUCAGCAGCAUCUUAAAGCACAUCCACAGGUUACCAGGAAGCAGCUUGCUGUUCAUGUCCAAGGUCAAAAACUUUUGACUGCUUCCAUGUUAGCAUCUGCCCCUCUUCAGCAGCAGAAGCAGAUAUUGGGUGAAAGACUCUUUCCUCUUAUUCAAGCCACGCACCCUACUCUUGCUGGUAAAAUCACUGGCAUGUUAUUGGAGCUUGAUAAUUUAAAACUUCUUCAUAUGCUUGUGUCUCCGGAGUCUCUGAAGCUGUAGUUGUACUACAAGCCUACCAUGUGAAAGAGGCUCCAGAAAGCAAUUAACAGUGCUACUGUUGUACCAACUGCUUAAAAUUGAUCAGGGACCACCAAAAAACAAAAAAACAAUAAAACAAAAAAAACUUGUGUUUCAACAAAGAAAAAUAUCUAAACAUCAAAAAACUAAAAUAUUAUGGAAAAAAAUUACAAAAUAUAAACAAAAAAGGAAAGCAAACUUUGAACCUUAUGUACUGAGGAAAUACCAAGUCUAGCAAACUUACUAGUCCUAGAUUACUUAUUGAUUUGAAAAUAACAGAAAAAAGAAAACAAAAAAAUAGGAAAAUUUAAAAACAAGCUGGGUGUGGUGGCUCACACAUGUAAUCCCAGCACUUUGGGAGGCUGGGGUGGAUCGCCUGAGGUCAGGAGUUCGAGACCAGCCUGGCCAACAUAGUGAAACCUCAUCUCUACUAAAAAUGCAAAAAAUUAGCUGGGCGUGGUGGUGGGUACCUGUAAUACCAGCUACUAGGGAGGCUGAGGCAGGAGAAUUGCUUGAACCCGGGAGGCAGAGGUUGCAGUGAGCCAAGAUCGCACCAUUGCACUCCAGCCUGGGCAACAAGAGCAAAAAAACUCCAUCUCAAAAAAAAAAAAAAUUAAAAACAAAUUAAUGUUUUAUAGAUCCUGGGAAAAAUAAUUUUCAGCAAAGUAUGAAAAUUUAAAGCAUUCCUUUAAUUUUUUAACUCUUAACUGUGGAAAAGCUCAGAAUGUCAGUUAUGUUUUAAAUAACAGAAUUGAUAACUAAACAAGGAAAUAUAACUUGGAUUAUGAAAUUCUUGGUUUAAUAAAAAUUCUUUAAAUGGUUUAAAAAAACCUGAAUAGGCUCAAAAACAUAAGGUGAUUAUGCAGUGUAUGUACACAUCAAAGGAAGAUGUGGCUGGGUGUGGUGGCUCAUGCCUGUCAUCCCGUCACUUUGGGAGGCUGAGGUGGGAGGAUCACGAGGUCAGGAGUUCAAGACCAGCCUGGCCAACAUAGUGAAACCCCAUCUCUACUAAAAAUACAAAAAAUUAGCCGGGCAUGGUGGCAGGUGCCUGUAAUCCCAGCUAUUCAGGAGGCUGAGCCAGCUGCCUGGGAGGCAGAGGUUGCAGUGAGCUGAGAUCACGCCAUUGCACUCCAACCUGGGCAACAGUGCGAGACUCUGUCUCAAAAACAAACAACAAAAAAAGAGAGAUGUGUAUGCAUUAAUACUAAUAUGUGAAUCAAAGGAUUACUCUAAUUUUUUCCAAAGUAAUUGCUUAUUUAACCUAUUCAACCAUUUUGUUUGUUUCAAACCUUAAUAGGAAUAUAAACACAAUCUAACUCUCAAACAGGUUAAAUCUAAACUCUCUACACCUUUAUCUAGCAAGUGCUAUGUUGUAUAGCUUUCUUCACUGUCACAUCACAGCUAUGAUUUUGUAAAGCAUUUAUUUUUACCUCAUUGGGAUUUGUAGCUAUUAGAAUAUCAAAGCUAUAGGAAUAUUUCAAAUAUCCCAAAUAUAAAAACGAAUUUGAUUUCAAAGGGAGGUUUUACACAUUUAAAUGCCUGAAAAUAAGGGGUAUAAUAAAGAGCCUGGUAGACUGUUUACUCUGACAAUAUCACUGAAAAUGGCUAUAAAAUAUGAUGGAAACACUGAAAAAUUACCUUUGAGGAGGAUGCAGAAUCCGUUUUCUUUGUAAACUGACCCUGAAGAUGUGUCAAAACAUUUGUAAUAUCCACAAUAAAGAGUCAACGGCA